CCUACGGGGGGCAGCAGUGGGGAAUAUUGCACAAUGGGCGCAAGCCUGAUGCAGCCAUGCCGCGUGUGUGAAGAAGGCCUUCGGGUUGUAAAGCACUUUCAGCGGGGAGGAAGGCGGUGAGGUUAAUAACCUCAUCGAUUGACGUUACCCGCAGAAGAAGCACCGGCUAACCCCGUGCCAGCAGCCGCGGUAAUACGGAGGGUGCAAGCGUUAAUCGGAAUUACUGGGCGUAAAGCGCACGCAGGCGGUCUGUCAAGUCGGAUGUGAAAUCCCCGGGCUCAACCUGGGAACUGCAUUCGAAACUGGCAGGCUAGAGUCUUGUAGAGGGGGGUAGAAUUCCAGGUGUAGCGGUGAAAUGCGUAGAGAUCUGGAGGAAUACCGGUGGCGAAGGCGGCCCCCUGGACAAAGACUGACGCUCAGGUGCGAAAGCGUGGGGAGCAAACAGGAUUAGAUACCCCUGUAGUC
rnacentral:rRNA from 1 species